rnacentral:rRNA from 1 species
AUUGAACGCUGGCGGCAGGCCUAACACAUGCAAGUCGAACGGUAACAGGAAGAAGCUUGCUUCUUUGCUGACGAGUGGCGGACGGGUGAGUAAUGUCUGGGAAACUGCCUGAUGGAGGGGGAUAACUACUGGAAACGGUAGCUAAUACCGCAUAACGUCGCACGAACAAUGAGGGGGCCCUUCGGGCCCCAUGCCAUCGGAUGUGCCCAGAUGGGGUUAGCUUGUUGGUGGGGUAACGGCUCACCAAGGCGACGCUCCCUAGCUGGUCUGAGAGGAUGACCAGCCACACUGGAACUGAGACACGGUCCAGACUCUUACGGGAGGCAGCAGUGGGGAAUAUUGCACGAUGGGCGCAAGCCUGAUGCAGCCAUGCCGCGUGUAUGAAGAAGGCCUUCGGGUUGUAAAGUACUUUCAGCGGGGAGGAAGGGAGUAAAGUUAAUACCUUUGCUCAUUGACGUUACCCGCAGAAGAAGCACCGGCUAACUCCGUG